AUACGGAGGGUGCGAGCGUUGUUCGGAAUCACUGGGCGUAAAGGGCGCGCAGGCGGAUUGGUAAGUCAGAUGUGAAAGCCCACGGCUUAACCGUGGAAGUGCAUUUGAAACUGUCAGUCUUGAGUACCAGAGGGGAAAGUGGAAUUCCCGGUGUAGAGGUGAAAUUCGUAGAUAUCGGGAGGAAUACCGGUGGCGAAGGCGACUUUCUGGCUGGAUACUGACGCUGAGGCGCGAAAGCGUGGGGAGCAAACAGAAUUAGAUACCCUAGUAGUCC
rnacentral:rRNA from 1 species